UGUCAAAAAAUUCAUCUAUUUUUAUUGUUAAAAAUUGUUCUUUGUACAUCAAAAUAAGGUAUACAUGGCAUGCCAUAUGUAACUAUUUAGUUAUUUCAUUAACCAUGCUAGUUUUUAAUAGUGGAAAUAGAUGAAAUUUUUAAUG
rnacentral:pre_miRNA from 1 species